rnacentral:rRNA from 1 species
GACGAACGCUGGCGGCGUGCUUAACACAUGCAAGUCGAACGGAAAGGCCCUGCUUUUGUGGGGUGCUCGAGUGGCGAACGGGUGAGUAACACGUGAGUAACCUGCCCUUGACUUUGGGAUAACUUCAGGAAACUGGGGCUAAUACCGGAUAGGAGCUCCUGCUGCAUGGUGGGGGUUGGAAAGUUUCGGCGGUUGGGGAUGGACUCGCGGCUUAUCAGCUUGUUGGUCGGGUAGUGGAUUACCAAGGCUUUGACGGGUAGCCGGCCUGAGAGGGUAACCGGCCACAUGGGUACUGAGAUACGGCCCAGACUCCUACGGGAGGCAGCAGUGGGGAAUAUUGCACAAUGGGCGGAAGCCUGAUGCAGCAACGCCGCGUGCGGGAUGACGGCCUUCGGGUUGUAAACCGCUUUCGCCUGUGACGAAGCGUGAGUGACGGUAAUGGGUAAAGAAGCACCGGCUAACUACGUG